GUAAUCUUGAACUAUUGUUUUUAAAACAAAUUUAUACGCAAUUAAAAAAUACUUAGAGGGGCAAUCGUUGGGGCAGGGGAGCGCUGAGUCCCCUUCUGGAGAUGAUGUUUGGUUGGGCCAGCACCUCAGCCCCGUGUUGAAGGAGUGAGAAGUCAGCUUGUACCGCCAGCCACAGCUCUAGCUUGUACCGGAACUUUUGCAGGGGUGUGGAUCCUCUGCCAAGCAGACCAGUGAUUCCACAUAAUGGAUAGAAUGUUCAACCCAGAAGCACCAGUCUCUCUCGUUUGAGGAAAGGAUGCAAAGGAAGGAACAGCCUGACUUGCUUAUGCAUGCCUGAUUCUCGGUGGGCACCAUGUGGGGGCCGCCAUGCUUGAGCAGAGCUUUGGGAGCGUUCCAUUGAAAUACCGACUUCAAUGCCAGUGCCUUACAUGGAGCACAAAUACCCAGAAGUUCACAGAGCUGUGGGGACUUCUAUGAAUAAGAAAGAGGCAUUUAUGAAGCACAUCAACAGUGUCACAGAGGAGCUGUGUACUUGGCCAUUGGGGCAGCAGGUCUAGAAACUUUGGACUGGAUGACAGAAAUUGUG
rnacentral:lncRNA from 13 species